CUUUUUGUAUUCUUCGAUGUCGGCUCUUCCUACUCAUUGCCUCGCAGCUGGGCCGAAGUGUAGGAUUGUUCAUCCACCAACAGGGAACGUGAGCUGGGUUAGACCGUCGUGAGACAGGUUAGUUUUACCCUACUGAUGAAGUCGUUGCCGCGACAGUAGUCCAAUUUAGUACGAGAGGAACCGUUGGUCCGCAUAAUUGGCAAUUUCCGUUGACUGAAACGUCAGUGCGGAGAAGCUACCAUGCGUCGGAUUAAGGCUGAACGCCUCUAAGCCCCGAAUCCAUGCUGAAAAGCGGUGAUAAUUGAGCUCCCUUGAUGCGAACGCGAAUACGCAUAGACCGUCUCUCGGGGCGGUCCAGAUCAUAACAUGGCUGCGGCUCUGCCCCGCGCCGAACACGUGCGCGGGGAGGCGAGGCCGAACACAAGUUGAAAUAUUGAGGGAGACAAAUCCUUUGCAG
rnacentral:rRNA from 1 species